CCUACGGGAGGCUGCAGUGGGGAAUAUUGGACAAUGGGGGCAACCCUGAUCCAGCCAUGCCGCGUGUGUGAAGAAGGCCCUCGGGUUGUAAAGCACUUUCAGUGAGGAAGAACGCCUGGUGGUUAAUACCCAUCAGGAAAGACAUCACUCACAGAAGAAGCACCGGCUAACUCCGUGCCAGCAGCCGCGGUAAUACGGAGGGUGCGAGCGUUAAUCGGAAUUACUGGGCGUAAAGCGCGCGUAGGUGGCUUGAUAAGCCGGUUGUGAAAGCCCCGGGCUCAACCUGGGAACGGCAUCCGGAACUGUCAAGCUAGAGUGCAGGAGAGGAAGGUAGAAUUCCCGGUGUAGCGGUGAAAUGCGUAGAGAUCGGGAAGAAUACCAGUGGCGAAGGCGGCCUUCUGGACUGACACUGACACUGAGGUGCGAAAGCGUGGGUAGCAAACAGGAUUAGAUACCCUAGUAGUC
rnacentral:rRNA from 1 species